rnacentral:snRNA from 1 species
AUACUUACCUGGAUGGGGUCAACGGGUGAUCAAGAAGGCUCGUGGCCUAGAUCAAUGGCUCACAUUGCACCUGCUGAGUGCGUUGGCCUACCAUCUCCCCAAGUGGGAGAGUGGACGUCGUAAUUUGUGGUAGAGGGGGUACGCGUUCGCGCGGCCCUUG